UACGUAGGGGGCAAGCGUUGUCCGGAAUCAUUGGGCGUAAAGAGCGUGUAGGCGGUUCGGUAAGUCGGCUGUGAAAGUCCAGGGCUCAACCCUGGGAUGCCGGUCGAUACUGCCGGACUAGAGUUCGGAAGAGGCGAGUGGAAUUCCCGGUGUAGCGGUGAAAUGCGCAGAUAUCGGGAGGAACACCUAUGGCGAAGGCAGCUCGCUGGGACGUUACUGACGCUGAGACGCGAAAGCGUGGGGGGAGCAAACAGG
rnacentral:rRNA from 1 species